rnacentral:rRNA from 1 species
GACGAACGCUGGCGGCAUGCCUAAUACAUGCAAGUCGAACGAUGAUAUCACUGCUUGCAGUGAUUGAUUAGUGGCGAACGGGUGAGUAACACGUGAGGAACUUGCCCAUGAGCGGGGGACAACAUUCGGAAAUGGAUGCUAAUACCCCAUAGGUGGAUUGGUCGCAUGACGAAUUCAUUAAAGGUGGCUUUGCUACCACUCAUGGAUAGUCUCGCGGUGUAUUAGCUAGUUGGUAAGGUAAUGGCUUACCAAGGCAGUGAUACGUAGCCGACUUGAGAGGGUGAUCGGCCACACUGGGACUGAGACACGGCCCAGACUCCUACGGGAGGCAGCAGUGGGGAAUUUUGGACAAUGGGGGCAACCCUGAUCCAGCCAUGCCGCGUGUCUGAAGAAGGCCUUCGGGUUGUAAAGGACUUUUGUUAGGGAAGAAAAGGGAAGUGCUAAUACCACUUUUUGCUGACGGUACCUAAAGAAUAAGCACCGGCUAACUACGUGCCAGCAGCCGCGGUAAUACGUAGGGUGCGAGCGUUAAUCGGAAUUACUGGGCGUAAAGCGAGCGCAGACGGUUACUUAAGCAGGAUGUGAAAUCCCCGGGCUCAACCUGGGAACUGCGUUCUGAACUGGGUAGCUAGAGUAUGUCAGAGGGGGGUAGAAUUCCACGUGUAGCAGUGAAAUGCGUAGAGAUGUGGAGGAAUACCGAUGGCGAAGGCAGCCCCCUGGGAUAAUACUGACGUUCAUGCUCGAAAGCGUGAGUAGCAAACAGGAUUAGAUACCCUGGUAGUCCACGCCCUAAACGAUGUUGAUUAGCUGUUGGGCAACUUGAUUGCUUAGUAGCGUAGCUAACGCGUGAAAUCGACCGCCUGGGGAGUACGGUCGCAAGAUUAAAACUCAAAGGAAUUGACGGGGACCCGCACAAGCGGUGGAUGAUGUGGAUUAAUUCGAUGCAACGCGAAGAACCUUACCUGGUCUUGACAUGUACGGAAGAACUCAGAGACGAGUUUGUGCCUUCGGGAGCCGUAACACAGGUGCUGCAUGGCUGUCGUCAGCUCGUGUCGUGAGAUGUUGGGUUAAGUCCCGCAACGAGCGCAACCCUUGUCAUUAGUUGCCAUCAUUUAGUUGGGCACUCUAAUGAGACUGCCGGUGACAAACCGGAGGAAGGUGGGGAUGACGUCAAGUCCUCAUGGCCCUUAUGACCAGGGCUUCACACGUCAUACAAUGGUCGGUACAGAGGGUAGCCAAGCCGCGAGGUGGAGCCAAUCCCAGAAAACCGAUCGUAGUCCGGAUUGCACUCUGCAACUCGAGUGCAUGAAGUCGGAAUCGCUAGUAAUCGCAGGUCAGCAUACUGCGGUGAAUACGUUCCCGGGUCU